rnacentral:rRNA from 1 species
GACGAGCGCUGGCGGCGUGCUUAACACAUGCAAGUCGAACGAAAAGGCCCUGCUUGCUGGGGGUGUUAGAGUCGAACGGGUGUGUAACACACGAGUAUAACCUGCUUGACACUUUGAUAUGCCUGCGGAACUGUGGCUCAUACUGGGUAUAACAUCUCCUGCUGCGUGGUGGGGGUGGGAGAUUUUGUGGUGUUGGAUGGACUCGCGGCUUAUCAGCUUGUUGGUGGGGUAUUGGCUCACCAAGGCGACGACGGGUAGCCGGCCUGAGAGGGUGACCGGCCACACUGGGACUGAGAUACGGCCCAGACUCCUACGGGAGGCAGCAGUGGGGAAUAUUGCACAAUGGGCGGAAGCCUGAUGCAGCGACGCCGCGUGCGGGAUGACGGCCUUCGGGUUGUAAACCGCUUUCGGUAGGGAAGAAGCGUGAGUGACGGUAACUGCAAAAGAAGCACCGGCUAACUACGUG